rnacentral:sRNA from 1 species
CACUAUUCCUAUUCUGUCUCAUGCAUUCAUUGGUCCACAAAGAUUAAGAAAAUAUUUUCUUAAUUUUUGUGGACCAAUGAAUGCAUGGGACAGAAUGGGGAUAGU